rnacentral:rRNA from 1 species
UACGUAGGGUGCGAGCGUUGUCCGGAAUUACUGGGCGUAAAGAGCUCGUAGGUGGUUUGUCGCGUUGUCCGUGAAAACUCACAACUCAAUUGUGGGCGUGCGGGCGAUACGGGCAGACUGGAGUACUGCAGGGGAGACUGGAAUUCCUGGUGUAGCGGUGGAAUGCGCAGAUAUCAGGAGGAACACCGGUGGCGAAGGCGGCAUUCUGGACCGAUAUUGACGCUGAGGAGCGAAAGCCAGGGGAGCAAACGGG